UUUAGCAUGGAAUAAUGGAAUAGGACGCGCGGUUCUAUUUUGUUGGUUUAUAGGACCGCCGUAAUGAUUAAUAGGGACAGUCGGGGGCAUCAGUAUUCAACUGUCAGAGGUGAAAUUCUUGGAUCAGUUGAAGACUAACUACUGCGAAAGCAUUUGCCAAGGAUGUUUUCAUUAAUCAGGAACGAAAGUUAGGGGAUCGAAGACGAUCAGAUACCGUCGUAGUCUUAACCAUAAACUAUGCCGACUAGGGAUCGGACGGUGUUAUUCAUGACCCGUUCGGCACCUUACGAGAAAUCAAAGUGCUUGGGCUCCAGGGGGAGUAUGGUCGCAAGGCUGAAACUUAAAGAAAUUGACGGAAGGGCACCACCAGGGGUGGAGCCUGCGGCUUAAUUUGACUCAACACGGGGAAACUCACCAGGUCCAGACACAAUAAGGAUUGACAGAUUGAGAGCUCUUUCUUGAUUUUGUGGGUGGUGGUGCAUGGCCGUUCUUAGUUGGUGGGGUGACUUGUCUGCUUAAUUGCGAUAACGAACGAGACCUUAACCUGCUAAAUAGCCCGCAUUGCUCCGGCAGUGCGCUGGCUUCUUAGAGGGACUUUCGGCUCAAGCCGAAGGAAGUUUGAGGCAAUAACAGGUCUGUGAUGCCCUUAGAUGCUCUGGGCCGCACGCGCGCUACACUGACGGGGUCAGCGAGUUCCUUGGCCGAAAGGCCCGGGUAAUCUUGUUAGCCCCCGUCGUGCUGGGGAUAGAGCAUUGCAAU
rnacentral:rRNA from 1 species